rnacentral:rRNA from 1 species
UGGGGGAUAUUGCACAAUGGGCGAAAGCCUGAUGCAGCGACGCCGCGUGGGGGAUGAAGGCCUUCGGGUUGUAAACUUCUUUUGCUCUGAACAAGGCAUGCCUUUGGGGUGUGUUGAGUGUAGGGGUUGAUUAGCGCCGGCUAACUACGUGCCAGCAGCCGCGGUAAUACGUAGGGCGCGAGCGUUGUCCGGAAUUAUUGGGCGUAAAGGGCUUGUAGGUGGCUGGUUGCGUCUGUCGUGAAAGCUCAUGGCUUAACUGUGGGUUUGCGGUGGGUACGGGCUGGCUUGAGUGGAGUGGGGGAGGCUGGAAUUCCUGGUGUAGCGGUGGAAUGCGCAGAUAUCAGGAGGAAUACCGGUGGCGAAGGCGGGUCUCUGGGCUGUUACUGACGCUGAGGAGCGAAAGCGUAGGGAGCGAACAGG